UACGUAGGGUGCGAGCGUUAAUCGGAAUUACUGGGCGUAAAGCGUGCGCAGGCGGUUUUGUAAGCCAGAUGUGAAAUCCCCGGGCUUAACCUGGGAAUGGCAUUUGGGACUGCAAGGCUGGAGUGUGGCAGAGGAGACUGGAAUUCCUAGUGUAGCAGUGAAAUGCGUAGAUAUCAGGAGGAAUACCGAUGGCGAAGGCAGGUCUCUGGGCUGACACUGACGCUCAUGCACGAAAGCGUGGGGAGCAAACAGG
rnacentral:rRNA from 1 species